UGAACACGUACAGGUCAUACGUGAACACUCUAGAACUGAACACGUACAGGUCAUACGUGAACACUCUAGAGCUGAACACGUACAGGGGCCCCGGGGCCCCGGCUCAAGCCCUGAUCUCUGGCCAAACCUUGACCUCAGUGAAGACUGCUCAGUAAUCCAGAGCAGAGGUGACAGUUUAUCAGCAGCUGAUUUAGAAUUCAUACAUCCAUUGGACCACGGUGAAGAUGGCUGUGAUAUGGGCUGUGCUAGUGUCUGUGCCUGUGUUGUUUUUCUGUGGAUGGUGGACCUUCAUUGAUUCCUUGACCUUGAC
ensembl:lncRNA